GACGAACGCUGGCGGCGCGCCUAACACAUGCAAGUCGAACGGAGCUUAGAGAGCUUGCUUUUUAAGCUUAGUGGCGAACGGGUGAGUAACGCGUGAGUAACCUGCCCUGGAGUGGGGGACAACAGUUGGAAACGACUGCUAAUACCGCAUAAGCGCACGGUAUCGCAUGAUACAGUGUGAAAAACUCCGGUGGUAUAAGAUGGACCCGCGUCUGAUUAGCUUGUUGGUGAGGUAACGGCCCACCAAGGCGACGAUCAGUAGCCGGCCUGAGAGGGUGAACGGCCACAUUGGGACUGAGACACGGCCCAAACUCCUACGGGAGGCAGCAGUGGGGAAUAUUGCACAAUGGGGGAAACCCUGAUGCAGCGACGCCGCGUGAGUGAUGAAGUAUUCGGUAUGUAAAACUCUAAUCAGCAGGGAAGAUAAAUGACGGUACCUGACUAAGAANCAACCGGCUAAAUACGUAGCCAGCAGCC
rnacentral:rRNA from 1 species